CCUACGGGAGGCAGCAGUCGAGAAUCAUUCACAAUGGGGGAAACCCUGAUGGUGCGACGCCGCGUGGGGGAAUGAAGGUCUUCGGAUUGUAAACCCCUGUCAUGUGGGAGCAAAUUAAAAAGAUAGUACCACAAGAGGAAGAGACGGCUAACUCUGUGCCAGCAGCCGCGGUAAUACAGAGGUCUCAAGCGUUGUUAGGAAUCACUGGGCGUAAAGCGUGCGUAGGCUGUUUCGUAAGUCGUGUGUGAAAGGCGCGGGCUCAACCCGCGGACGGCACAUGAUACUGGGAGACUAGAGUAAGGGAGGGGGAACCGGAAUUCUCGGUGUAGCAGUGAAAUGCGUAGAUAUCGAGAGGAACACUCGUGGCGAAGGCGGGUUCCUGGACAUUAACUGACGCUGAGGCACGAAGGCCAGGGGAGCGAAAGGGAUUAGAUACCCCUGUAGUC
rnacentral:rRNA from 1 species